UGAAGCUUCUGUUGCGGGAGGUUCAGGUGUGCUCCCAAGCGGAGCCGGAGACCCCGCCGCCCCGUGCGUCGCCCAGUGUCGUCAGGUUCCGACUCGGCCCGUCUCGCGGCUCCUCCCUCCUUGAGAACGUCUGUCCUGGGGUGUAUGAAGCAAACCCAGGACAUUUGUGUGUCACCCCGAAGGCCCCAGGUGACGAGGUCGGCCCGCCUUCCUCCUAGACCUUCUUCCCGCUCUUCCGUGGCGGGUUUCCUGUCUCUCACAUCAGCUAGACGUGGGCGUUCUACCUUCGGCUGGAGCGAUGAAGACGGUGUGCCGAGGAGGGUCUGAGGAGUGAGCAGAUCCGGAACAGAGACGGGUCAGGCAUUCGGGGCGAGGGGGCAGCGCGGCCGCGGGGAGAGCGCCGGCGCCGAAGGGGUCUCCGUGGAGAGGCUCGUCUGGGUGGCUUGGGCAGCUCCAAGGAGAAGCUCCAAGUGGCUCCAAAGGCUUCAGCCCGAGACCCACCAGCCCAGAGACACACAGGGCCAAGACUUACAGAAAACAGAGAGUAAAUGGAUCACAGUAUCACUUCUGAAAAAAUGAGCUAAAGAAAACACACGUCCACUUACAAACUCUCCUAAAAAUGUAAAUGCAAUCCAAGUAGCAGAGUUUUUGUCUUCUAAUAUAUUUCCUUGGUCAUUAAUGUAGUUGGUCCAGACUGUCCUGAGUGGCUAACGUGUGCAGAACGAUCUUUCCAUCCACCUGGCAACCAAGCAGCGUCCGGCUUAGCUCAAACCCUGGUCCAGCCCGGAGACCCAGCAGUGUUCUGUCUCGGAUCUUCCUCUCCCACCCUCCCCGAUGCCCACAACACUGCCUGGCGGGUGUGUGUGUGUGCACGUGUGUGUGUCUGUGUGUGAGUGUGCGCCGGCACAAAUCUGGCUCAUGAUUUCGAGACGAACAAUUCGCAUAGCCAGUGCACUACUGACAGACACUGGUGGCUCUUCAACUUUGCCUACAGCAAAAAUGCUAAAACUCAUAGGUCAGAGUAUGCAAAUCUGAUCUAGAUAGUUUACUAUCAAAUUGGCAAGAAUUUUUAAAAAGCGCAAUUCUCAGUGCUGGUGAAGAUGUAGAAAAGGCAUCGGUCACUCUUGGUAGCUGGAAACGGUGUUGCAGUCAUUUUGGAUGACAGUUUGGCAAAAUCUGUUAACAUGUAAAAUGCUUCUGGUCUUUGGUUAAUUCUGGCUUUCUUGGGAAGUGAGUCUGUGCAUAGAUUUGUGCCCAAAGGUGCCUUGUGAGCCCGGCUCCCCAGACCUCCUGAAAAGACCUUCCGAGCCCAGACUCCGCAUGUGGAAACUGGCAUCCCGAGAGGCUUCAGUACAUGGCGCCAUGUGUGCUCAAGGAUACGUGGGAGUUUGCUGCUCUGCAUUCUGUCUCCAACACAACUUCUCCUGGGCAAGAUGUCAGCUCAGGAAUGCCAUCUCCUUCCAAGUGAUGCCGCUGUCGCAGACUGCCCUUCAGGGGUCAGAAGGAGGUGAUGCCAUUCGGGACUUCAGGCGUCUGGGGGUGGCUGUGGGGUCCUCAUCAAGGCCAGCAUCCCUCUCAUGUUGGCUCCUGCCCAAGACUGGUCCCCUGAGCAAGGGGGCCCACGCGGUUCCCCAAAGCCCUCCCAGUCCUCAGUGCCCUCCAAACACUGUGCCUCCUGCCCCACCACAGCGACCUCUGCAUUCUGUUCCGUAAAGCGCUGGCCAUCGUGGUCUCGCGGGAUGGGGCGGGGCAGGGGAGACUCACUGAAGGCUUUUACUGCUGUCUUACCUCUCAUUGGAAGAACAAGAAUUACGAGAAUUGGACACCACUACUCAGUGUCCAUAAACCAAAUGACUCGGGCCUCAGCGGCUUUGCCGAAGGACAUGGCCUUCACCUUGGAGAGAGCCACGUGUUCAUGUGUGCCUUGCACGGCAGGCAAGCAGAUGUUGGGACGCAGUUACCAGAGCGCUGUGGGCUGCUUGGCAAGCUGCUGGCUGGCACAGGGGCAUCUCUAGCCCAGUAGGGAGUGAGGUCUGGGGCCCCUGACCCCAGGCCUGCUAGUGCCGCUGGUAGCCCACUUUCCCAGCAUUCCCUUCCAGAGCUGGCACCCAGGGUUGGACUGCUCCAACCCCAGCUCCUGGCAUCCCCACGGGUAGAUCUGCUCUCAUGCUCAUCCCAGGAGAAGGGAGAGGGACAGAGGACGGGGGUUCCUUCCAGGAGCACCCUCACAGCCUACUGCCAGCUGAGGAGCCAGCAUGCCCAGACAGGCCGGUUCCUUGCCCCAGACCCCGUGCCCUCGAGGCUGUGUACUUUGCCACGUCUGUCACUGGAUCAUGCCAUGGGGACAGCAGUUCAUGGUCCUCCAAAGUGCCUGCCCCCAAACAAAAGAGCGUAUGAGAAGCCCAGAGGUUUCCUGGAGACGGUCUCUGUACAUGGAGAAAUGAGAACGUAUUCGCAGACAAAGCGUGACCUGAGGGAGAAGCCUGCCGGAAUCUGGAUUUUCAAUAACAUAAGACAAUAAAGCUUAGACUUCUAACC